CGCGGGGCGCCGCUGGCCCCCCCCGCGCUCCCCCCGCGGGGCGCGGGAGAACGGGGGGGGGGGGGGGGGGGGGCCCCCCCCCCGCCCCUGCCCGGCACCCACGACCAUGCUCCGCGGUUGGGAGGCAGGAACCCAGGCUCCCAGCGACCCUCGGAUACCCACUCCCGGGCCGGGCUGGUAUUGAGAUCAAGGCGUCCAGGAUCAAAAGAUCACCACCUGCCCGCCUUCCUCCGCACCUCCAACUGGCGAGCAGGAGGACCCCAAUCCACCCACCGACCCUGACCUGGUCAUGGCGUCCAACUCCGGCCUGGCGUGAGGACCCCCGACCCGCGCGAGGGAGCCCCAGCCCCGGUCACACCCUUGAGCCCGAGCCCGACACGCGUUAUCCCGAGGUGAGAGGUCUGUGUGCCUGUGUGUGUCCCCACACCCUCCGCGCUCAGCUCUGCCUGCCUCUGCCGGAGCCUCCUGCUUGGCUUUUUGUCUUGGGCGCCCUCCUCCUGGCUCUCUGCCCCGAGAGGGAGGGGUAGUUAGCAGCUUGCUCUAGUUGGCUUCUCUCCCAGAAUUCUUCGGAAAAGAACUCCCCUUUGACCCCCAGUACAAACUGAGCCGAGCCACCAGCCUCCCUCCCGCCCGCCUGCCUGUGGGAGCUUCACCCAGCCCCCUCCUACUGAACUGCUAAGCCUGAUUCUCUCCCUCCAGGCCCUCCCAGCUAGGCCUAGUCCCCAGGACUCGAGUCUUCCGGGGACAAGGGAGACCACACAGGGACAGAGGACCCACACCAUUCUUUUCCCUGACACAGGAUAACCCCGGGGUGGUGGGUGCUGGAAGCUGGGGUCCUCAGGCCAGGAUGCGGGAAUCCUGCCCACCCCACCCCCGACCCUGGGGCUGAGCCCUAAGGCAUCUCCAGGGCCUUCUCCUUUCCUGCUUCCAGAGGAGGGAGGGGGAGCCGUGCGGUGGGGCGGCUGGGUCAGGCCCGGCUCCCCGCCCAUCUACCGUCGGCCCGGACGGGGGGUGGACUCCGCG
rnacentral:lncRNA from 1 species